GUCCUACGGGACGCAGCAGUGGGGAAUAUUGCACAAUGGGGGAAACCCUGAUGCAGCGACGCCGCGUGAGCGAAGAAGUAUUUCGGUAUGUAAAGCUCUAUCAGCAGGGAAGAAAAAUGACGGUACCUGAGUAAGAAGCACCGGCUAAAUACGUGCCAGCAGCCGCGGUAAUACGUAGGUGGCAAGCGUUGUCCGGAUUUACUGGGUGUAAAGGGCGUGCAGCCGGGAGUGCAAGUCAGAUGUGAAAUCCCGCGGCUCAACCGCGGAACUGCAUUUGAAACUGUGCUUCUUGAGUGCUGGAGAGG
rnacentral:rRNA from 1 species